GGGGAUGACAGGCUUCGACGGGCGAGGCUGGUCCCGGACGGCAAGCCGAGAGGUACCGAACUCGUAAAAUCCGUACAAAAAACAAGUGCCAAAAACACUUCUUACGUAGCUCUUCCACUCGCUGCAUAGCGUGUGAUCGAGCUCCCUGACGCCCUAAGAAGCGUCACGUCUGCCUGCUCCGCUCUUCAACCGGUAGCAGAGUGGACGCCACAAAGUUGAAGUGCCGUACAUCCUGCCGCGAGGUGUAUGAAAGAGGGCUUUCGGGUCCAAGCGACUGGCUUCCUUUUGCUUUUGUUCAUUUUACGAAAGGUGGCGAAACAGAAAAUGAGCUAAGCUUGUAGAUGUUCGAGGAUCUAUUCGUUCGGACGCGGGUUCAAUUCCCGCCAUCUCCACUG
rnacentral:tmRNA from 1 species